ACAAUGGAAUCUCCAUUACAGGUUGAUCUCAAGGCUGUGUUGAAGAGCCUAAAAGAGAAGUUGCAGAAAUUUAAGCAAGCUAAAGAAACCUGUGAUCAAGAAAUUCAGCACAUUAAAAUACAGGCUGAAUGUACUGAGAAACAGAUUAAGAAAGACUUUGAAACCCUUUACCAGUUCCUAUGGAAUGAAGAAGCAACCAGGUUAGCUGCUCUCAGGAAAGAAGAGAGGAAGAAAUGUCAGGCAGUACAGAACAUGGCUUUGGACAUAAACAUAAUGUGCCUUACUGAUGAUAUCUCAGCACGGUCUAAAGAGAUGAAAAUGGGAGACAUUUCAUUCCUACAAAACAUCAAACCUACAAUGAAAAGAUCCCAGUACUCAUUCAAGGAUCCACACUUGAAUUCAGGAGCACUAAUAGAUGUAGCGAAGCACUUGGGCAAAAUGAAGUGUGGGAGAACAUGCAGGAAAUUGUUCGAUACAGUGAGUAGUCUGGGUUACAGUAUUAUUUAG